rnacentral:tRNA from 1 species
GGGGUUGUGGCUCAGCGGUAGAGCACUCGCCUAGCAUGUGCGAGGCCCUGGGUUCAAUCCUCAGCACUACA